GGGGGCAUGGCUCAGCGGUAGAGUGCCUGCCUAGCAAGCACGAAGCCCUGAGUUCAAACCCCAGUGCCACCA